rnacentral:rRNA from 1 species
CCUACGGGUGGCUGUAGUAAGGAAUAUUGGUCAAUGGACGCAAGUCUGAACCAGCCAUGCCGCGUGGAGGAUGAAGGUCCUCUGGAUUGUAAACUUCUUUUAUUUGGGAAGAAACUCCCGAUUUCCAUCGGGAUUGACGGUACCAGAUGAAUAAGCACCGGCUAACUCCGUGCCAGCAGCCGCGGUAAUACGGAGGGUGCAAGCUUUAUCGGGUUUCACUGGGGCGUAAGGGUGCGGGGGUGGGCGUGGAGAAAUCUCCGGGCUUAACCCGGAAACUGCCAUUGAUACUAUUUGUCUUGAAUACUCUGGAGGUGAGCGGAAUAUGUCAUGUAGCGGUGAAAUGCUUAGAUAUGACAUAGAACACCCAUUGCGAAGGCAGCUCACUACGGAAAUAUUGACGCUGAGGCACGAAAGCGUGGGGAUCAAACAGGAUUAGAUACCCCAGUAGUC